rnacentral:rRNA from 1 species
GCCAGACUCCUACGGGAGGCAGCAGUGGGGAAUAUUGCACAAUGGGGGAAACCCUGAUGCAGCGACGCCGCGUGAGUGAGGAAGUAUUUCGGUAUGUAAAGCUCUAUCAGCAGGGAAGAAAAAAUGACGGUACCUGACUAAGAAGCACCGGCUAAAUACGUGCCAGCAGCCGCGGUAAUACGUAUGGUGCAAGCGUUAUCCGGAUUUACUGGGUGUAAAGGGAGCGCAGGCGGUACGGCAAGUCUGAUGUGAAAGCCCGGGGCUCAACCCCGGUACUGCAUUGGAAACUACCGGACUGGAGUGUCGGAGGGGGAAGUGGAAUUCCUAGUGUAGCGGUGAAAUGCGUAGAUAUUAGGAGGAACACCAGUGGCGCAGGCGGCUUACUGGACGAUCACUGACGCUGAGGCUCGAAAGUGUGGGGAGCAAACAGGAUUAGAUACCCCAGUAGAA